GCCCACUAGUUCAAUGGUAGAACGCCCCCCUCAAUCAGAGCAUAACAAGUAAGAUAGGUUGUGCUUUGAUUAAGGGGGUAAUCUCGGUUCAAAUCCGAGAGUGGGCA
rnacentral:tRNA from 1 species